rnacentral:RNase_P_RNA from 1 species
GAAGUUCGCCAGGCAGUCGCUGUGCACCUCAGGGUGCGUGGAGGAAAGUCCGGGCCCCGCAGAGCAGGAUGCCGGCUAACGGCCGGGCGUCGUGAGGCGACGGAAAGUGCAACAGAGAGCAGACCGCCGAUGGCUU